CCUACGGGUGGCAGCAGUGGGGAAUAUUGGACAAUGGGCGAAAGCCUGAUCCAGCCAUGCCGCGUGUGUGAAGAAGGCCUUCGGGUUGUAAAGCACCUUCAGUGGGGAAGAAAGCCUUGGGGCUAAUACCCUCGAGGAAGGACAUCACCCACAGAAGAAGCACCGGCUAACUCCGUGCCAGCAGCCGCGGUAAUACGGAGGGUGCGAGCGUUAAUCGGAAUUACUGGGCGUAAAGCGCGCGUAGGCGGUCUGAUAAGCCGGUUGUGAAAGCCCCGGGCUCAACCUGGGAACGGCAUCCGGAACUGUCAGGCUAGAGUGCAGGAGAGGAAGGUAGAAUUCCCGGUGUAGCGGUGAAAUGCGUAGAGAUCGGGAGGAAUACCAGUGGCGAAGGCGGCCUUCUGGACUGACACUGACGCUGAGGUGCGAAAGCGUGGGUAGCAAACAGGAUUAGAUACCCUUGUAGUC
rnacentral:rRNA from 1 species